CUCUACUACUGAGCUAAAUCCCUAGCCCUUUUUAGUUUUCCAGACAGGAUUUCAUUGAGUUGCCCACUCCGGCCUCAAACUUUGAUCCGCCUGCUUCUCCUUCCUGAGUAGCUGGGAUUACAGGUGACCAGCUGUUCUGAUUUGUCUGCAGGGAUCCUGGUUUUCUCAUUGAAGGUUCUACAUCCCUAAAAGCCUCUCAAUCCCCAGCAAAUGCACGCCAGGACAGUUGCCCACCCUACCUACACUCCAAGAUGGAGCUGCCAGGAGGUAAACAGUUCUUCACUACCAUGCACUCCUGCCACAGGGUAUUGUGCUGUUACAGACCCAAAGAUAUACAGCCAAGCAACCGUGGGCACAAACCUAUGAAACUCAAG